rnacentral:rRNA from 1 species
GCAGUAGGGAAUCUUCCGCAAUGGACGAAAGUCUGACGGAGCAACGCCGCGUGAGUGAUGAAGGCUUUCGGGUCGUAAAACUCUGUUGUUAGGGAAGAACAAGUACAAGAGUAACUGCUUGUACCUUGACGGUACCUAACCAGAAAGCCACGGCUAACUACGUGCCAGCAGCCGCGGUAAUACGUAGGUGGCAAGCGUUAUCCGGAAUUAUUGGGCGUAAAGCGCGCGCAGGCGGUUUCUUAAGUCUGAUGUGAAAGCCCACGGCUCAACCGUGGAGGGUCAUUGGAAACUGGGGAACUUGAGUGCAGAAGAGAAAAGCGGAAUUCCACGUGUAGCGGUGAAAUGCGUAGAGAUGUGGAGGAACACCAGUGGCGAAGGCGGCUUUUUGGU